UACGUAGGUGGCAAGCGUUGUCCGGAAUUAUUGGGCGUAAAGCGCGCGCAGGUGGUUUCUUAAGUCUGAUGUGAAAGCCCACGGCUCAACCGUGGAGGGUCAUUGGAAACUGGGGAGCUUGAGUGCAGGAGAGAAGAGUGGAAUUCCACGUGUAGCGGUGAAAUGCGUAGAGAUGUGGAGGAACACCAGUGGCGAAGGCGACGCUUUGGCCUGUAACUGACACUGAGGCGCGAAAGCGUGGGGAGCAAACAGG
rnacentral:rRNA from 1 species